rfam:Taphrina deformans PYCC 5710 genomic scaffold, scaffold00291
GUCGCUAUGGCUUAACGGUAAAGCAGGACACUGUUAAUGUCUAGAUAGAGGUUCGAUUCCUCUUGGUGACU